UACGUAGGGCGCAAGCGUUGUCCGGAAUUAUUGGGCGUAAAGAGCUCGUAGGUGGCUUGUCACGUCGGGUGUGAAAGCCCCGGGGCUUAACCCCGGGUCUGCAUUCGAUACGGGCAGGCUAGGGUGUGGUAGGGGAGAUCGGAAUUCCUGGUGUAGCGGUGAAAUGACGCAGAUAUCAGGAGGAACACCGGUGGCGAAGGCGGAUCUCUGGGCCAUUACUGACGCUGAGGAGCGAAAGCGUGGGGAGCGAACAGG
rnacentral:rRNA from 1 species